rnacentral:lncRNA from 10 species
AAUUUGUAAAUAAAACUUUAUACUUAUACAGUGUUAAAAAUGAGGAAUGAGUUCAAUGUUGGUGUAAUCUAUUUUCUUUCUCUCCUCUUUCUAGAAGAACACCAAUAUGGAUCAAGGAAGGAUUGAAAGACAGUAAAGGGCACACUAAGACUCUGUACAAAGAGGGAGAGAAGAUAUAGCCUCUUCCUAUGUGUGAUUCUCUUUCUUCCUCCCUAUGUGGAUAGCUGCAGUCAUAAAUGAGUCCAUUAGGACCUGCUAUUGAUUAAUGUGUCCUUGUCCUUGUCCUUGGAAAGUCCUUUGCAAACAAAAUAAGUUUGUGGGGCAAGAAAACAUAGAAUGAGUGGCUCAGGGUGUCUCUACAUUAUUAGAGAAUUUGGGGAGUGUUGUAUGUGCCCCCUGAAGUUACAACUGAGAUGUAAAGAUUGGGAAGAUGGAAUUACUAGAGAGGAUGGAAAGGAAUAAAGAGUUUGCAGUUGUUUUGUUUGUCUCCUGCUUGUACCGACAGGACCCAGCACGAGGAGACAGGGAACAAAGAGUUAUUUACAAGGUCCUGGAAAUUUAGCUUAUCUGGAAGCGUGGGUUUAACUGUAAUUGUCUGCAUUAAGCCUGCUGAGGAUACACACUCUUGGUUUCAGAAUAGGCCCAAGAAUAACCAUAUUCAAGCGUUUCAAUUCUUUCCAUUAUGAACACAACACCUUAGGGCAGGUUUCUAAGGGCCCUGACAACUUGAAUUACUGUCUUUCCCUACUUGCCUGCUUGCGACUGAGCUUACAAGGAAAUGACUUUAAACAAUGUCACACCUCUUUACCCACAGACACAGUUUACAGGACCUCAUUCGCACUCCAAUGACAAUGAAAGGAAGGGGGUGUUGGGCAGAGAAGCAAAGAGCUCCGGUUCUCACCAUCACAUGGUAGCGGGUGUAAGUUUGUUCCCAACAUACCAGACAGAGAGCAACUCUCACCAGAGAAGAUCCCAAUGUGUUUUAUGCUAGAUCUGACUUUAAUUAAGUGUAGACAAUGCUCCCAUCAGUGCUGGAACUGGCCCCGGUAACUUGCUUUAGCUGAUGGAAUGUUACCAAACACAACAUGAUCAAAGGCUUGAGAGAUGAUUUCCCUCCUGUGCUUCCGCAAUUACCAUGAAAAGAACAUGGCCUGGUGGUCCCUGAUCCCCAAAGAAUGACGGACACCUGGAAAAAGCUUGGAGUAACAGAUUCAUGAGCAAGAAUAAAUAAUUAUUGUUUUAAU